GCUUCCUACGGGAGGCAGCAGUGGGGAAUUUUGGACAAUGGGCGCAAGCCUGAUCCAGCAAUGCCGCGUGAGUGAAGAAGGCCUUCGGGUUGUAAAGCUCUUUUGUCAGGGAAGAAACGGCCGCGGCUAAUAUCCGCGGCUAAUGACGGUACCUGAAGAAUAAGCACCGGCUAACUACGUGCCAGCAGCCGCGGUAAUACGUAGGGUGCAAGCGUUAAUCGGAAUUACUGGGCGUAAAGCGUGCGCAGGCGGUUUUGUAAGUCUGACGUGAAAUCCCCGGGCUCAACCUGGGAAUUGCGUUGGAGACUGCAAGGCUGGAGUCUGGCAGAGGGGGGUAGAAUUCCACGUGUAGCAGUGAAAUGCGUAGAGAUGUGGAGGAACACCGAUGGCGAAGGCAGCCCCCUGGGCCAAGACUGACGCUCAUGCACGAAAGCGUGGGGAGCAAACAGGAUUAGAUACCCUGGUAGUCCACGCCCUAAACGAUGUCUACUAGUUGUCGGGUCUUAAUUGACUUGGUAACGCAGCUAACGCGUGAAGUAGACCGCCUGGGG
rnacentral:rRNA from 1 species